CUUAUUCUGGUGACUGACCUGACACCGUUCAUCCUUUCCUUCCUUCCUUCCUUUCUUCAGAAAGCAUGGAGUUAGGCUGCGGAUUCUGGACAGGACCCUGAAGAAGAGAACUGAGAGUCUUUGUCCCCUGGAAAGGAAGAACCGGGUGGCUUAAUUUGCUUCAGUGCUGGAACAGCCUGUAGAGAGAAAAGAGAAGGAAAGUAAAGGGGAAAGUCACGGUGCUGGCCAGCUUCAGAAGCACCCUGGAUGUACAGUGAGUGAAAUUAUCUGAUGGCUGUAUUACAGAAUGGGACUUUGGUCCCAUCUC
rnacentral:lncRNA from 1 species